rnacentral:rRNA from 1 species
GAUGAACGCUGGCGGCGUGCUUAACACAUGCAAGUCGAACGGAAAGGCCGCUGCUUGCAGGGGUACUCUAGUGGCGAACGGGUGAGUUACCCGUGGGUUAUCUGCCCUGCACUUCGGGAUAAGCUUGGGAAACUGGGUCUAAUACCGGCUAGGACGAUGGGUCGGAUGCCAUUGUGGAAAGUUUUUUCGGUGUUGGAUGAGUUGGCGGCCUAUCAGGUUGGUGUCGGGGUAUGGGCAUACCAAAGCGUCGACCGGUAGCCGACCUGAGAGGGUGUACUGCCCCGUUAGGCCUGAGAUACGGCACAGACUCGUACCGGACGCAACGGUGGAGAGUAUUACACAAGAGGCGCGAGCCUGGUGCGACGACGCCGCGUGGGGGAAGACAGGCUUCGGGUUGUGAACUCAUGUCGCUAGAGACGGGGCGCAAGUGACGGUACCUGGAGAAGAAGCACCGGCUAACUACGUG